rnacentral:lncRNA from 1 species
AUCUUAUGAGAAUCUUUUGAGUAGAGUCAGCCCAGUACAGGGGCUCUUGGAUGGCUCAGCUGUGUGCUCCAAGUCUGUAGGAUGGAGGAAAGAAAGCAUGACACCAUCACUUGGAUGGGAGUUUCUGACAUUGCAGGGGCAAAGAUCCUGAAGGUUUAUGGGAAUUCCUUUAAGAUUUCAGCAGAAAGCAUGGUGGCUUGGUUUGAAAUACAUCUGUACAAAAACAAAACAAGCAGCAACAAUAACGAUAGCAAACUGAGAUCUGGAUAAUGGAAGAAGCCAGCCACACAAAGAGGCAAGGGAAGAACAUUUCAUUUCGCAGAAAGAGUGUCCCCCACCUCUCUCCUUUUGGGUGUGCCAGAGAAGCCUGCAAUCCCACUGCUUCUAACAGCCUUCUUGUGACUGAGGUAAGAUAGUCUUUGGGGAGAAGCAGAUCAUAGAUAUGGCAGAAAAGGGAGAGAAAAUGGGUCUUGGUAAACCA